UGAACACGGGUGCAGACAAACCAAUGAUUACAAUCGAGGCGAGUCCUGGAUUCGAAUCCACGAACUGCUGCAUCUCCCAUGACAAAGUGGGUUAGUGAGUGAGUGAGCGAGUGAGUGAGAGAGCGAGU